rnacentral:lncRNA from 1 species
UUACACGCGGUAUGCUAAGGUGUUGCUGGUUUUUCAUUUUGAGGUAACUGGUCUAACCAUUUUGAUCAGAUACUUGCAAGGGUUAGGGAGAGAUAAUCGAACGCUCAGAAGCAUAGGAUGUUUGCUUGGGAGCUUAAUUUAUUGGUUCUUGCCCCAUCUUACAUUGGGUCCUUCCUAAACCUAUGAAUUUUCUCAGAAAGAAAUGCUUAAGACCUCAGUUUUAUUGUAGAAGUGGACAUGGAAGAAAUAGUAUUUCUUUUACUUGGAAUGGUAAUAUCCAUGAAAAUUGAUAUUGUACAGUUGACAUGCAAGUGAUUGAUUGUUCGUUACCCUUGAUGCUUGGUCCUUGACAUCUUGGUACUGGACUUAUUUCCUUCUUACUAGUAUCCUUACUUAAAGACAUUGGCAUCGUGAUUGGCAUCAUCGGAGAUAAUUGGUGCUUCCUUACUUGCAAUUAAAUUGCAUUAUACUGCAUUUUUUUUUCUUGAUCUUUCCAACAUAACCUCUUUGCAUUUUCUAUUAUUUAUCCUCUCUUUUAUGGGUUUUGUAUUUGCUAUCUUUUCUAAAAUUGUAAUUACUUGCCAGGUUUAAUGCUUGUAUUUUGCUAAAGACUAUCGACCUUUGACAUUUUAUUUUAUUUUUUUAAAAAUUUUAUUGUUAUGAAGGUGUAAAAACUUGUGACUCUAAAUAGCCCAUGGUUCUAGUUAUUUUUUUGCUGCUGCUUUGGCAUCCAAUGCUACAUUAUUGGUUUUUCCCAUUUGCUCCCUUGCUGCUUGUUAUUUUCCCUGGAAAUUGUAUAUACUACUUUGCUUUUUUUACAAAUAUAGCUUGUCUAUGAGCUAAUUUGCUGCCUCUGGCUUUGGAGGUUGAGUUGUCAGAACCAGUUUUGCGUUUUCUGAUCAAAAUACACUACAUGAUUGCCUUGUUGGAUUUGUGAUUUAAGUGGUGUUUGAAAUUUCUGACUAG